AUUGAACGCUGGCGGCAUGCUUUACACAUGCAAGUCGAACGGUAACAGGCCUUCGGGUGCUGACGAGUGGCGAACGGGUGCGUAAUGCAUCGGAACGUGCCCAGAGGUGGGGGAUAACGCAGCGAAAGCUGUGCUAAUACCGCAUGUGAUCUGAGGAUGAAAGCGGGGGACCAGGCAGCAAUGUUUGGCCUCGCGCCUUUGGAGCGGCCGAUGUCAGAUUAGGUAGUUGGUGGGGUAAAGGCCUACCAAGCCGACGAUCUGUAGCUGGUCUGAGAGGACGACAAGACACACUGGGACUGAGACACGGCCCAGACUCCUACGGGAGGCAGCAGUGGGGAAUUUUGGACAAUGGGCGCAAGCCUGAUCCAGCAAUGCCGCGUGAGGGAAGAAGGCCUUCGGGUUGUAAACCGCUUUUGUACGGAACGAAAAGGCUCUGGCUAAUACCUGGGGCUGAUGACGGUACCGUAAGAAUAAGCACCGGCUAACUACGUG
rnacentral:rRNA from 1 species